AAAAGCUGCUCCUCACAGACUUGGCCGCUGUCUUGGUGCAUUUUGGUCAUCGGUGGCUCUCUUUUCCUGUAAAUGUUUUAACAGCCUCAGAGUAAAAUGGAGCCUAUUGUGGAAGACUGAGUGCUGGUGGCAUGGGGCUCAAAGGAUUUACCAAGACAGUUGUAGGUAUUCAUACAAACCAACAUUUCCUGACUGAAUGCAAAUAGGACACUUCUUUGAAAUGAGGAGCGACAAAUUUUUAACCUUUCUAGAAUUCAUGACAGAAUACUGUUUUUUUUUUUUUUUUAACGCUGUCUCCAUUGAAAGUCAGUUACUGAAUGGUAGGACACAAUUCUUAUGAAUUUUGUAGAAAGACAAAUAAUAUUCUCAUCUACAACUGUGUGAAGAAAAAUAGAAAAAUACUUGCCAUGUGUUAAAUCCUUACACUAUGGAGAAUACUAUGCAAACUGCUUUCAACUGCCUGCGUUCAUUUAAGAAUCACAACAACUAUGGAUGGCAGCAAAAUUCAGAAGGCUUAGACUACCACUGUCCUCCACAAGGUGCUCCAGCAGAUUGUCACCUUAUUCAACACAAGAGGUUGGUUGGAAUGAAACUGGCCUGGAGAAAUUAUUCACUGAAUUUUUAUCAGCAUUGGGAAGUCCUGGAGCCCUGCUUGUUGAAUGAGUUAGGGGUGGAAGGGCUCUCUCAGGCCAUGACAACUCCCUAAUGCUGUGAAGAGCUACUUCCAAGGAAUCAGUCUCUAUCUGGAAAAGAAAGAAGAGAGCCUCUGUACAUGGGAAGUUGGAGCAAGAAAUCAUGAGAUCCUUCUUUUUUUCAUCAAACUUGCAAGUAAGAUUAAUAGCUUAGGAACAGACUUGUGUCUUCAUGAAAUGAUUACUAUAGACACUCUUCAUUAUAUUCCCAUAUGUUUAGUUAUUUUAAAAGACUAUCUUUUCUGCCUGCAUAAUGAAAUGAUUGAAUCAAAUUUGUCACAAUACUUGUUGGUAAUGUCAAGCAACUGUAUGAUAAAGCAUCCAGUUCUUAGGGGCAUUAGCUCACCAUGGAUGAUAUUAUUAAUUUACCCAUGUACUUAAUUAUUGAUUCUACUACAUUUAUUGUAUUCAGUAUUUUUGCUUGUAUGAAAUGUUCACUUUUAACACUGUGCUAAUUACAUUAAAAAGUGUUCACUUUAUG
rnacentral:lncRNA from 10 species